rnacentral:lncRNA from 1 species
ACAUUCACUGGUGCUUACUCUCAACUAGUGUUGGUGGCACCUCUGUGGACAAUUUCCCUUUGAUUUUCAGUGGUAUCUCUGUGGUCAGACUCCCAGUGAGUCCCAUGGGUGUUCCAGGAGCCAACUUGUCAGCCUGGUAGGCACAAGGUAGGUUUCCAUCUUGCCAUCAUGGCUAUAGGUCCCUACCCAUCUAUCUCAGCCUACCUGUACCUAGAAGGAGUCUUUCUUGUUGGUCGCUUCUAUCUGCAUUCCCUGCUCACCAGUUUCAGCCUGGUGUCUGUGGACCAGCUCUGGGCAACCCAGUGAACUUCCCUGCCAUCUAGCGGAGAAUAAACAGCACCUUCUCCAAUGGAGUAAGUCCUAGCCUUGGAGGGGGCGCCUGCCUUCCAAGUUUACUUCUUCCUUAGAUGAUCUCCAUCAACUUUAGGGAGUUCUUUAGAGGUAUUCUUUACUGUUUUAUAGAUUAACUAUUAUGGUUACACUUAAUAUUGCAUUAAAUUUUCUCUGCAAAUCCUCUCUGUCUUCUGAUCCACCCCUGACUGAGACAGAAUUGUUGUCAGGAAUGGUCUCAGGAGAUAGACACACAAAGUUGGGAUUUAGGAAUUGGUUUGGUUGUGUUCUUAAACUUGACUGCUGAUUUUGCCAACAGGAAGUGAGGUGCUAGCAAUCCAUGGCAUGCAGUGGCAUCACCGUUUGUCCAGCUGUCACCUGUGGUUGAAUGUGAUAAAGUGCCAACUGAAGACAUGACGUGGAAGCCCCUGGCCUUUGUGGUAGUUGUGAUGAUGAUAGGGACUGUGUUGUGGGAGGAUUCUUCUGAGUGCACUAGAGCAAUUGCAGAAAGAAAACGACAAACUCUGGUCCUUUAACGACCAGCUCCACUCACAGAUUGAGGAGCAGGAAACUUCCAAGAUGAUCCUAAAAUGUGUUCUUAUUUCUUAGAGCUGCAGGGCUGACAUGGCAAAAAGUCAAUAAAAACUUUACUAUGCAAGUUGCUGAAUUACAAUAACAGCUGAAUUCAGAGUCUUGCCAAGUUUCUCAGGGGAAAGUUAGGACAUUUAUUGGGAACGAUUAGGAUACUAAAACUUGGAAUGAGAACAUCUGGUGGCCCCAGACGAAACAGACAGUCCUGAGCCUCUAAAUCACUCUGGAUUUUUCUUGCCUCUGAAAUUAGCUUGUUCUUCCUACACACUGAAGUUAAACUCGCCUUCUUGUACCCGAAAACCUUAUUAUAAUCUUACCUGGGGUUGAUGCCUCACUACUAGAUAAUCAGUCUCUUUAAAAUCCACCACAACACCCCCUUUUUGCGAACAGACCCAUAAUUAGAGUCACAUCUAUUCAUGCUCCAGGGAUAAGUACAUAUUAAGGCUCAGGUGGGAACAGCCUACAUCAAGAAUGGAAAUUGUGCUCAUAUAUUGGCAGAAACCUAGGAACAUAAGUAGGAAUGGAUUUUAUGGAUAUUCAACCAAAGAGGGUAGGCUAUAAAACAGACGGGGCCAAAUCCAUCGAUAUUACUGUAUGUUUCAGAUAACAUGCCCAUGCACCCCGAGGUGGGUCCAAUAGCUUACUUGGGAACUGUGAGCUGGCAAGAGAGGUAGAGUUUGAACAGUGAAGAGAUACCUAGAACUUCUGAUCUCAUCUCCACCCUCCAAAAGACUAUAACUCUGCUGGGGAGAAAACCACACAGAUCCAUGUGAAAGUGAGUGAAUCAAAAAGCAGUCUCUCAGGAAGGCAGCCCCCUUGGAACAGUAGGAAAAUAAGCAGCAUAAACAGAAUUGUGUUGGUCAGAGGAGAGAAAAUUUUAUGGGCUGGAACGGUUGUAAAAUGUUCCUUGGAAGGAAAGAAAGCACUUUCAUGAGAAUUGGAGGGAUGCCUCAGUUUGAGGAAGCCAAGAUAAUAGCAGUGAGACGGAGACGCAGGCUCUUAGACCAAGACUGAAAUAGUGGCCACAGAUCAAGAGUCAUGAGCUCUGUAGAGCUUGACAAAUGUCCCACAGAUGCUAGGGCAACUCAGUGUCCCAACAGCCCACUGACUCCCAAGGUGUGAAGUACACCCUAUGGCAUCAGUAUCUUCAGCCUGUGCUGGGGCUGCAAUACCUCCUUUCCAGAUCCUAACGUGUGGUAGGCAUGACCUUGGCACUUUACUCCCAGGAGCCCACACAUCUGGACAUUGACUAUCACCAGUAUUUAGAUCCAAGAGUAUUUGGGAAUCAAGAGAUCCAAAGAGUAAGAAUCACCACACCUGCAAGUUAACCUCUUCCUUGAUCCUAUUCUCUCUUUCCUGAGGUGACUGGAUGGGAGCAGUUGGCCCUUUUCAGGAGAGAUGCUCCUACCCUAGAAAUUGGCCAACACUCAUACCAAUGACAAUCACAGUCAUAGUAUUUUGAUGAGACACAGUAUUUCAAGCAGAAGAGGCUACCCAAGUAUAAUCAAGCCAGAAAAAAAAAAAAAUCAGUGGACUUUCUUCAUUCUGCUUUUUGGACACUGACAUUCAUAGCAUUGCCUUGCUUUAACCUUCUGAGCAUUUGUUGUGGUUGGUUAGCCAAAAAUGCCAGUAAAGGAACCGUAACCCUCCCAGGGCAAUGCUCAUGGCAAAGAGGACGAUGCAUGUUUGUGUUUGGCUCUGGAUCAGGGUGCAUUAAAAGCUGUUGCAGGGAGUUCCCGUUGUGGCACAGUGGAAACAAAUCCAAUUAGUAUCCAUGAGGAUGCAGGUUCAAUCCCUGGCCUUGCUCAGUGGGUUGGGGACCAGGCAUUGUCAUAAGCUGUGGUAUAGUUCUCAGACGUGGCGCAUAUCCUGGGCUGCUGUGGCUGUGGCGUAGGCCAGCUGCUGAGCUAGUAUUCGACCUCUAGCCUGGGAACUUCCAUGUGCUGUAGGUGCGGCCCUAAAAAAGCUGGAGAGCUGGCUCCAAAAAGCACUGUUGGAGAGCAACUCAGUGGGAGAAUCAGGGCUGGAAAGCCUGGCUGACCCUUCCCCACAAGGAGAAUCUCCUUCCGUUCUUGCCUUGGAUGAUCUGAUUUAUAUCUUUGGUAAUAAAGAGGGAGCUCCUGAUAGAGGCAUGUUGUGUUGGAGACGGCAGGAAACAGGCAGGGAUCUAGCCUUCAGCAUAGAUCGGUCACCAUCACAAGUUGAAGGAAAAAGACCAGGAGGUGAGGGAGCUGGACAACAGGCCACACGAAGGAGAGCUGAAGAAAUGGGGGAAGAAGAGAAAUGCAGAAAGGGCUCGGUCAAUGUCCUUGAACCUCCGGGAACUGGGGGUAAAUUCCCUUUGUUUGGCUCCAAUUUAUACCCAUCCCGUUGCUUCCAGGGGAAGAGGAUGGAGAGUAAAUCAAUGUUUGAGUAAAUGAAGGAAGAUCCAAAUAGUAGAUCUAGAAGAACGUAAGAUGAAAACAAGGUAUAUUUUAGUUGAAUAUAAAGAAUACAUGACAAAUCAAUGUCGAAUAAUUAAUUGAGCAUCGUUUCCUGGAAGACAUCAGCUCCUCAGCCCUGCGGUGUCUGGACACCAGCAGGAUGGCCCUCUCCUAGGAACGAUGUCAAAGGGCAUGGAACCCAGGGGCACCGGCCAAGCUGUCGCCCUCUGGAUUUAUGCUGAUUAAGCUGUGAGAUACGUAUGUGGGGUGGUCCCUUGGGGUGGCCUCACCCACAUCCACAGCAUGGAAAAGAGGCCUUCCUGUGCUCAUGGGUUGAUCUCUAAAUUUCGUGGAUACUACAACCUUGAUCUGUCAGUACCUCAAGCUGUUUCCCACGUAAAGCACAGACUUGUGAAAAGAAAUAAGGGAAGACACAGAAAGCUGGGUGACUGCCUUCAAGGCUAAAUUGGAUCUGCCAUGAAUAAUAAAAUAAAGAUGAAAUAUGCCUUAUUAUUUGCAAAUUUUAACUAAAUCUAUUAGAAAUAUUUAAUUAUGGCUAUAAAAGCUGUCAUCAAAACGGCCUACCCUAAUAGGAAUAUAAAAAGAGUAGACAAUGAACUCUUCAUUAGUUAAUUAAAAUUUCUGAAUUUAAUGAAGUGUCAUCUUAAUAAAGUUAAAUAAAUAUGGUAUGCUCUAUAAUUUACAAAUGAAAGCCUGAAAAUAAAAAUGGUUCAAAAAAAAUAAAUAACAUUUUGUCCGUGUUUUGUUCAUUCAUUCAUCGAUGCCUUCACUGUAGUGGCCAAACACGCGUGCUAUCAAAUGUCGGAGCUGGAGGACCCAAGGCAAGGAGUAAGAUGCAGUAAACACUUCAGUAUGCACCAUGAUCACUAACAUCAGAGCUCAACCAUGGCACAUCCAGAGGAAGAAAUACUCGGUCCAAAAGCACUUACAUUUUAUUACGGAUUAAAAGACGUCACCUUCAGGAUGUUGUUUCAAUGGCAGCAUUAGAGACGUUAGCUGACACCUGGGGUAAGUUGCUCAGGUUGUAGAUGCAAUGGCUGUGUUAGGUUGAACAUGGGAUGAAAGACAGAGGACAGCUGGAUGUCUGCCUCUCCUACAGCUGCUUGGCACUCAUCCUUCACGGAUUGAGAAGUGAGCUUAGCAACUUCAUUAACUGAUAAAAGUCCCAGCACAGGGCUCACUGCAGGUGAUUGCAGUAAUAUUGGCUUCUGUGAAAAAGUGAGCCAACCUCAAGAACCCAGCAGGAGGUAGUAUUCUGACCUUGGGACGCGGGCUGUGUUAACCAGCCAUUGUGUCCGGAUCCACUUAGUAAAGGACUCCCUUUCCCCUUCCCUGGGCACCUGUACUUUGAUUGCGUGAUGGUCAUGCACACGGCCUGAGCUGAAAUCUCUCCUGGAUCUAGGUGCAGUCUUCAGAGACUGACGGAUGUCACCAUUUUCCCAGAGCUCCUUUCAGGUUCCCUGGCCCUCUCAUAAAGCGAUGCCUUCCCUAGCUUUGCAAAAUAUCAGUCUCUGGGUUGUGAGGUCCCUAAGUCCUCAGAUCCAACUUGAGUUUACUUAGGGCCACAGCAGUUGCCAAAAGCUGGCAUGUAGAAAAGAACCCCACAAGGUAUGGGAAGGGAGCCAUGAAGCCUGACGGAGCAGCAGCAUGGCUGCAUCUCUGCUUCUCGUAGAGACCAUGGCGACGGGUCACUGAGCCUGGUUGCUGUGAGACACUGCGACCUUUAAACCUUAUAUACAUACUAGUUAUGCAGACACCCAUGUUCAAAAUAUUGUCCACAUUUCAGGGCCAGUUUGUGGAUCCUGGGUCCUAGAGAGAUGGCCCUGAUAAAGCCAUUGUCAUAUCGUUUCUAUUUCCAUUCUCUAGGGAGUCAGAAUCCUAGAGCCCCUGGGCAGCCCCCGUGACCAGUCAUUUUCAAAAUGUGAAGUUCAAUGCCUUUGUUCUUUAGAGGUCCAUGGGGAUCAGGCAGUGGGCAGCAGGUAUCCAGGCCCAUCAUCCCUACCACGUCAACCAGCUCCACUGGUGCUUGUUUCACCUUCUGGGACUCUAGUUAAGACUUUAUUUGAACAAAAGGGAUUUUAGGCAAAAGUAUUGAAAUCCAAAGAUCUAAACCAGUAUUUCUUGAAACAAAUCCUGGAGUCCCCACUAUGGUACAACAGGAUCAGGGCAUCUCUGGAGCUCUUGGACGCAGGUUUGAUCCCCGGCCCAGCACAGUGGGUUAAGGAUCCAGGGGCAUAGGUCACAAUUGCGGCUCGAUCUGAUCUCUGGCCUGGGAACUCCGUAUGCCAUGGGGUGG